rnacentral:rRNA from 1 species
AGAGCGAACGCUGGCGGCAGGCUUAACACAUGCAAGUCGAACGCCAUCUUCGGAUGGAGUGGCAGACGGUGAGUAACGCGUGGGAACGUACCCUUUGGUUCGGAAUAUUCUCGGGAAACUGAGAGCAAUACCGCAUACGAUCUACGGAUGAAAGCGGGGGACCGUAAGGCCUCGCGCGAUUGGAGCGGCCUAUCAGCUAGUUGGUGAGGUAAUGGCUCACCAAGGCAACGACGGGUAGCCGGCCUGAGAGGACGACCAGCCACACUGGGACUGAGACACGGCCCAGACUCCUACGGGAGGCAGCAGUGGGGAAUUUUGGACAAUGGGCGCAAGCCUGAUCCAGCAAUGCCGCGUGCAGGAAGAAGGCCUUCGGGUUGUAAACUGCUUUUGUACGGAGCGAAAAGGUUCUGGUUAAUACCUGGGACCCAUGACGGUACCGUAAGAAUAAGCACCGGCUAACUACGUG